CAUGCAAGUCGAACGAAGUAGCAAUACUUAGUGGCAGACGGGUGAGUAACAUGUAGGUAUCUGCCCUUUGGCCUGGAAUAACACGAGGAAACUUGUGCUAAUACCGGAUAAGUCUUUACGGAGAAAGCUUUAUGCACCAUUGGAUGAGCCUGCACUUGAUUAGUUUGUUGGUGGGGUAAUGGCCUACCAAGACUGUGAUCAAUAGCUGAUUUGAGAGGAUGAUCAGCCACAUUGGGACUGAGACACGGCCCAAACUCCUACGGGAGGCAGCAGUGGGGAAUCUUGCACAAUGGAGGAAACUCUGAUGCAGCGAUGCCGCGUGAGUGAAGAAGGCCCUUGGGUUGUAAAGCUCUUUCGUCGGGGAAGAAAAUGACUGUACCCGAAUAAGAAGGUCCGGCU
rnacentral:rRNA from 1 species